UCUAGAACAUGGGAGGGCAGUUAAUUUCUUGUGAGGGGCUGUUUACACAUUCCGCCUCUCUACAUAUUAUCUUACUUCUGUAACUCUUGUAGAAAUGGGUGUUGCCGCCUCUCUUGGCAGAAACACAGGGCAGAAAGUCAACAGUCAAUAGGGUAAGCCUUGGCCUUCUCUCACACUUUCUACAUGGACUCGGGCAGAUCACAGUUCUAAAUGGAAAAGAUAUGUCGCUUUCUUGCCUUUCCUGGACCUACACGAAAUCUGACUGUGCUGAGGUCCAUAUUCAGGCGAUAGGCGAUUCCUAAACACAUGGAUGAAGGUGUUUUCAGAGACAUUCAACUAAGGGAAGACCCAACUCAAAUGUGAGUGGCACCAUCCCCACAGGCAGGGGCCCAGGUCUGAAUAAAAAGCAGGAAAGGAGCAAGACAACUGAAAACCAGCAUUCAUCACAUCUCCUGCUCUGGUCACCAUGACUUCCCGCCAUGAUGGACUGUGUCCUCAACCCAUAAGCCCAGACAAACAUGGCUGAUUCAUUCAUUUACUCCAACAAUUCUGGGAGGUGGUGAGAUGCUCACAGCGGUCCAGGAGCAGUGACGAUUGCAAUGGACUAAACGUACAAAUGAAGAGGUGAGAAAUUAAGUCACUGGCCAGAAGACCUACACCCCAUUUCCAAUUUGCAAUGAACU